rnacentral:rRNA from 1 species
GACAGAGGGUGCGAACGUUGUUCGGAAUUACUGGGCGUAAAGCGCGUGUAGGCGGCAGCGUGUGUCGGGCGUGAAAUCCCACGGCUCAACCGUGGAAGUGCACUCGAAACUGCGCAGCUAGAGUCCUGGAGAGGGAGGUGGAAUGCUUGGUGUAGAGGUGAAAUUCGUAGAUAUCAAGCGGAACACCGGUGGCGAAGGCGGCCUUCUGGACAGUGACUGACGCUGAGACGCGAAAGCGUGGGGAGCAAACAGG